UUUAUUGGAACAAUGGGCGCAAGCCCUGAUCCAGCCAUGCCGCGUGAGUGAUGAAGGNCUUAGGAUUGUAAAGCUCUUUCACCGAUGAAGAUCAUGACGGUAGUCGGUGAAGAAGCCCCGGCUAACUUCGUGCCAGCAGCCGCAGUAAUACCAAGGGGGCUAGCGUUGUUCGGAAUUACUGGGCGUAAAGCGCACGUAGGCNGAUAUUUAAGUCAGGGGUGAAAUCCCGCUUCUUAACNGCGGAACUGCCUUUGAUACUGGNUAUCUCGAGUAUGGAAGAGGUGAGUGGAAUUCCGAGUGUAGAGGUGAAAUUCGUAAAUAUUCNGAGGAACACCAAUNGC
rnacentral:rRNA from 1 species